rnacentral:rRNA from 1 species
AGGACGAACGCUGGCGGCGUGCUUAACACAUGCAAGUCAAGGGGGCCCAGCAAUGGGCAACCGGCGAACGGGUGCGUAACACGUGAGCAACCUACCGAACUGUGGGGGAUAGCCGGCCUAACGGCCGAGUAAUACCGCAUACGCUCUCAGAGAGGCAUUUCUUUGAGAGGAAACCUACGGGACAGAUCGAGGGGCUCGCGGCCUAUCAGCUAGUUGGCGAGGUAACGGCUCACCAAGGCAACGACGGGUAGCUGGU